GGGUUAUGUACGAUCGAGAGAAGGAGGGAGCUAGGAAGAACCAAACCCUAACAACAUAGAAUCCAUCAAAUUGAAAGGGAAAUUGAAGGCUAAUCGAAUGCAUGAACUAGGAAUGUCGAUCACUUAAGUAUCUCCAACAUCAAGUUAUGUAGAUUUGGAAUGAAGCGGGUCGAGGAAAGGAGGGGAAUCAAACCAAGCAAAGGCAAUAGGAGCGCACGACUCCGGUAAGUUCAUAUGAACUUCGCUCAUGUAGAAUGUAGAUUUUGUGUUAGUUCUCUUGUAAAUAAUUGUUCGAUGUUUUAUGUGGAAAUUUAUAGUAAAAUGUCUUAAUGCGAUUUGUUAGUAGAAAAAGGGAAAAGUCUAUUGACGACCCGUAUAAAUGGGUCUAAAGUAUGAGAAUGAGGUGUUCAUGGUGAUGUAACUACGAGUCAAGUAAGAUGAAUAUGUUAUGAAGUUAAGACAACUAGCGAUGACUUUUUAUAAGUCGAACUAGUGAAGCAAGGAAAAUUGAAAAGUAAGAAUAAAUAUGAUCCGUGAGAACGGGUCGGACAAAAUAAAAUGAUUUAUGAUGAUGGAAACUAAGAUGGUGCUAUAUCCAUUAAACGGAGUUGUCAUAUGAGAAAUUUGAAUGAAAAGAUGUAAAAAUAUAAUGAUCCCGUAACGGGUCAAAUAAUGAAGAAAAGCAAAUUGUAUUAGUAAUAUGUUUUUAACCAAACUAACUUGUAAGUUUGUGUUAUGGAUGUAGGUGAAUCUCACUCUUGAUAAUGGCGAGCUUGGAUCGAACACACCACAUCGCCCUUUAUGCGCUUCCGGUUUAGUCGUCUUUGUAAAUGGGUCAAAACACUUUCAUAAUGUAAAUGUUAAGUUUAUGUCUAAGAUGUUUCGUAAGUAAAUUAGGAUUUUUAAAUCUUAUUUUUGGUAGUUCGGACAAAACACUUUUGAUGGAAUCUUGUAUGGUUACAACUUAUAUGUCUUUUGAAACGUGUCAUAGAAUUUAGUUUGAAUGGUGAUUGCUAAAAGCAGGGAAUUGUAUAUAGUACGAACGGGUCAUGCCCAAUUUUUGUUAAAAAUUAGUAUGUGGUUACUAUUAUUUUUGAAUGUAAAAAAGUGGGCGU
rnacentral:lncRNA from 1 species